AUUGAACGCUGGCGGCAGGCCUAACACAUGCAAGUCGAACGGUAACAGGAAGAAGCUUGCUUCUUUGCUGACGAGUGGCGGGCGGGUGAGUAAUGUCUGGGAAACUGCCUGAUGGAGGGGGAUAACUACUGGAAACGGUAGCUAAUACCGCAUAACGUCGCAAGACCAAAAAGGGGGACCUUCGGGCCUCUUGCCAUCGGAUGUGCCCAGAUGGGAUUAGCUAGUAGGUGGGGUAACGGCUCACCUAGGCGACGAUCCCUAGCUGGUCUGAGAGGAUGACCAGCCACACUGGAACUGAGCCACGGUCCAGACUCCUACGGGAGGCAGCAGUGGGGAAUAUUGCACAAUGGGCGCAAGCCUGAUGCAGCCAUGCCGCGUGUAUGAAGAAGGCCUUCGGGUUGUAAAGUACUUUCAGCGGGGAGGAAGGGAGUAAAGUUAAUACCUUUGCUCAUUGACGUUACCCGCAGAAGAAGCACCGGCUAACUCCGUG
rnacentral:rRNA from 1 species